rnacentral:rRNA from 1 species
UACGUAGGGGGCAAGCGUUGUCCGGAAUCAUUGGGCGUAAAGCGCGUGUAGGCGGCCCGGUAAGUCCGCUGUGAAAGUCGGGGGCUCAACCCUCGAAUGCCGGUGGAUACUGUCGGGCUAGAGUGCGGAAGAGGCGAGUGGAAUUCCUGGUGUAGCGGUGAAAUGCGCAGAUAUCAGGAGGAACACCGGUGGCGAAGGCGGGUCUCUGGGCCGUAACUGACGCUGGAGGAGCGAAAGCAUGGGGAGCGAACAGG